GUGGCAGGACAGUAGUUGUUUGAGUGGCAGGACAGUAGGUUUUUGAGUGGCAGGACAGUAGGUUUUUGAGUGGCAGGACAGUAGGUUUUUGAGUGGCAGGACAGUAGGUGUUUGAGUGACAGGACAGUAGUUGUUUGAGUGGCAGGACAGUAGUUGUUUGAGUGGCAGGACAGUAGAUCUUUGAGUGGCAGGACAGUAGUUGUUUGAUUGGCAGGACAGUAGUUGUUUGAGUGGCAGUACAGCAGUUGUUUGAGUGGAAGGACAAUAGUUGUUUGAGUGGCAGGACAGUAGUUGUUUGAGUGGCAGAACAGUAGUUGUUUGAGUGACAUGAAAGUAGGUUUUUGCGUGGCAGGCCAGUAGUUGUUUGAGUGGCAGGACAGUAGUUGUUUGAGUGGCAGGACAGUAGAUGUUUGAGUGGCAGGAUAGUAGUUGUUUGAGUGGCAGGACAGCAGUUGUUUGAGUGACAGGACAGUAGUUGUUUGAGUGGCAGGACAGCAGUUGUUUGAUUGACAGGACAGUAUUUGUUUGAGUGGCAGGACAGUAGUUGUUUGAGUGACAGGACAGUAGUUGUUUGAGUGGCAGGACAGUAGUUGUUUGAGUGGCAGGCCAGUAGUUGUUUGAGUGACAGGACAGUAGUUGUUUGAGUGGCAGGACAGUAGUUGUUUGAGUGGCAGGACAGGAGUUGUUUGAGUGGAAGGACAGUAGUUGUUUGUCUGGCGGGACAGUAGCUGUUUGAGUGGCAGGACAGUAGGUUUUUGAGUGGCAGGACAGUAGUUGUUUGAGUGGCUGUCACAUAAUACAUCGUACUGUUGAAAGGAGGACCAAGGCGUAGCGGGAAUAUGGAUGCUCAUAUUUUAAUUUAAAAAAAAGGAGUAAAGCAUCCACUGAAAAAACAAUAAACAAAACAAUGAACAGUACUCACGAUAUGACUGUUUAGCAGGCUAAACCCCCCCCAAAAAAAGCAAUGCUGACAACCAUUCCCCACAAACACACAGACAAACACACCCAACUAAUAUAGGACUUCCAAUCAAAGGCAACACCACACAGCUGCCUUCAAUUGGAAGUCCACCACAAUUACCUCUACAUAGAAACACCCAACCUAGACAAAACAAAGAAAACCCAA
rnacentral:lncRNA from 1 species